UACGGAGGGUGCAAGCGUUAUCCGGAUUCACUGGGUUUAAAGGGUGCGUAGGUGGCGCCGUAAGUCAGGUGUGAAAUCUCGGGGCUCAACCCCGAAACUGCACUUGAUACUGCGGUGCUCGAGUACUGGAGAGGAGAUUGGAAUUUACGGUGUAGCAGUGAAAUGCGUAGAUAUCGUAAGGAAGACCAGUGGCGAAGGCGAAUCUCUGGACAGUUACUGACACUGAGGCACGAAGGCCAGGGGAGCAAACGGG
rnacentral:rRNA from 1 species